GAGUAAGUUCCAAACGAUAAACAACUAAAUUUUCAGUUUUUUAGGAAAAGCCCCAAUACCGUAAUUAAAUUCUUUAAAAAAAAAAACUAGUAUUAAAAAGUUUGUAAUUUUGAGUUUUGUAAUUUUCAAUAUUUAAUUUAAAUCUUAACCCGUGCCACAGUUCCCCUUGAACCCUUGGACAACAUUCUGGCGCGGGCUUCGGUCCGUAUCGUCUGUGACCCCCUUUGGAUGUAACUCAAAACUGGAACUAUUCCUCGGGUGUAAACUCACGGAAUUUGUAAUUGAGGCUCACCUGCUGCUGCCGAGGACUUUAACAACAGGACCUUUAACGAAAGGUUCUUCGACAUACAAGUUAUCAGUGCACUGCUGUAUUUAUAUAUUUUUAUACCGUCAAUGAAUAUAUUUUGUAUAAAGUAGAG
rnacentral:lncRNA from 1 species